GUACAUCAUUUGCCGAUCACCAUAAAAAUAGAAAGAAGAAGAAGGAUUAUACUUCCAUAAGAAAAAACGCGCUUCCCUGUAAUUUGUGUUCGUUGCUGCCACUUCCUCGUCAUCAAGCAGGUUUUUGGGAACCUGGUGAAAGUAACAUAUGCACUGCAGGUUGUUUCAUUAUCGCGCAAUGGCCUUUGCACUUCCGGUUUGGUUUGCGGUGCAACAUGAGCUCAUUGAGAGCGGCGGCGCGGACGGAGCAUCGCCGGGAUGUUUCGACGAUUUCGACGACGAAGCUUUGUUUACAACUUUCCACCUCACCAGGCCUUGCAUUACAUUCAUCGCGGACAACAUCCGCCUCCGCUUGAAGAGGGAGACCACCAAGGCCCCCGUGGAUGCGAUGGUCAUGGUUACGCUGAACUAUUACGCACAGGGGGUGUCGUCGGUGUCAGUCCAGGAGAAAGCCGGCAUCAACCAGUCAGACUGCGCCGAGAUCAUUAAUACAGUGUCCAAAGUUAUGGCAACCAUGGCCGACCAGUUCAUUUCCUUCCCGGUCACUCGGGACGCCCGGGCUAAUGUCGCCCACAAGAUCGAGAAGUUCUGCGGGAUCCCCAGGGUGCUGGGCGUCCUCGCCACCGCCCACUUCAAGGUCCGAGCCUCUCCGUACGAGAAGGACGCUUUCCGCUCGUUUCUCAACACCCGGGGCUACACUUCAGUCAUGAGCCAGGUCAUGUGUGACUGCGACGGAAACAUACUGAGUGUGGAGAAGUGUUGCACGGGCAGCACAUGUGAGCAGGAGAUGUGGGACUCCUCUUUUAAAGGGAGGGAGAUGGAGGAGGGCAUGCACGGCCAGUACUGGGUUAUUGGUGGUAGAGGCUACAGCUUGAGCACGCACAUCUUGACUGCUGUGUCCAACCCAACAAAUGACAAGGAGUUCUCCUUUAACCAGGCCCAUGCCAAGAUCCUUGACGUCAUGCGGACAACGCUUGGCUCCAUCAAGACGCGAUUCAGGUGCUUGAUGCAGCUCGGUUUUGCACAUGAGGCCUCUUUGGACAAAAAGGCUGACAUUAUCAAGGCGUGUUGUGUCCUGCACAACAUCGCCAAGAAGUUCUCAGUUCCUGCUCCACUUAUGGCUGGUAAAAUUGAGCCUUUGCACCCAGGGAAACAACAUCAGGCGCCAGAAGUGGAGAUCAAGCCUGAGGCCCUGAAAGCCAGACAGGAUCUCAUCAAUAUUAAGUUCUCUGUUGCUGUCCCCAGUAGUGAAGACUAAUAUUGUGGAGUACGCGUGACGAGAGUGGGCAAGCUCCCUGCAUCUUUUCCUUAAGACACAAAGCAGGCACAGAGGAACAGAUGAAGCAACAGAUAAGGUCAAAUGUUGGAACUGAACCCAGGGAGUUCAUGAUGCACUGGUGCAGGAAGACGUACUGGGACUGGAAACAGAGACCAGAGUUACUGCUGUCCGUUGACAAGCAACAUUUAUAAGCCGAAUGUGUUUACAUGCACACAGUAUUCUGGCUGAUACUUUAUAUCCUAAUUAAGAUGUUUUUCAGGACGACCCGUUUCUCGGGUAACACUUGACUCGGUUGGAAUUUCAUGGUAAGUAGGUGAUAAUUGGGAAGUAAUGUAUUUGAAAGUUCUCUGCAAUUACCCCAAAAUUAUAUCAACAUUAACGUCAAACUGAACCUUUUACUUUUAUUGUAUCAUCAAAUUCAUGCUUUGGAUAAAUGGUUCGAAUCCAUUAGAUCAUAAAAAUGAAAUCCGAGUUGCAACAGGUCAUGGAAUUUCUGGAAUAUCAUGAGAUCCAAAGACUGCCUUUACAUGUGCAACUUCAGUUCUGUGCAGUUUAGUUGUAUUGGAGUUCUACUGGAAAACAACUGAAUAAAAAUCUAAUUUGGUUUGCAACAUCAUUUGGAAUGCUUAGAAUAAAUGGUGACAUCAUAAAAAUAAAACUUUCCAUUUUCAACUAAUUUUGAGGCAGAUACUGGGUAAUUUCAAAGAAAUUUUGCUAAUUCCCACCUACUUACCAUGAAAGUCAUGGCCCACUAAAAUGAAGUGUUACCGGUUCUUGCAUUAAUCCUGAACAGCAAAUGGUGAACAGGAUGUGUGUGGUCAUGCUUUAGUUUUCUGUUAAUAUUGGCAGGGCCCAGUUAUGCCAGUAUUAUUAUGCCGGUUGAUUUUCUCAUAAUUAAGGUAUGAACAAAUAAGACUGUACAAGGUGUUUAGAUGAGGCAACUGAAAAUGAGAGCUUCAGUCUCCCGUAGAAGAAUAAUGUGCAUGUGAACACACUCCUUGGAGCUUUGGUACUGAGGGAUGUCACAAGGAUCGAUGCCAAAGUACCAAGUUAAGACCAAAACGACGCUAUUCAACACAACUUGAUACCUCACUUUGCAACCCAGUGUUGUCUAACGUAAUGCAGCCUUAGCCUGUGUGUGUAAAUACUUGAAAUGUGUAAAGUUGCAGUCGUGCUCACAGGACUGUGAAUCUUAAUGAGAGCAGGUAAUGCAGACCUUUGUGUUUGUUGUUUGAAAAACAUUUCAUACAGUUCCUCUGAUUAGAAACUAGUAUUUUGUUGGGCUGCUUUGUUUUCUACUUUCUACUUGAUUUUUUUUUUUCUUUUUUUUUUUUCGGCUGUAACCUAUAUGUACGCAUAAAGUUUCUGUUUACUUGUUCAUGUUUAUACAAAGCUUUUAAAUAAAGGGGUGUAUGCUGAACAGAAUUUCUGUUAUUGUCAUGCUGUUGAGUCAGAUAUCAGAGAAUCAUGGAACUUCCCCAGUAUUUGUAUCAAGUACCAAAC